rnacentral:rRNA from 1 species
GCGAGGAAUCUUGGGCAAUGGGCGAAAGCCUGACCCAGCGACGCCGCGUGAGGGAAGAAGGCCUUCGGGUCGUAAACCUCUUUUGUGAGGGAAGAAGUUCUGACGGUACCUCACGAAUAAGCCACGGCUAACUACGUGCCAGCAGCCGCGGUAAUACGUAGGUGGCAAGCGUUGUCCGGAUUUACUGGGCGUAAAGGGCUUGUAGGCGGUUCGUUAAGUCCGGUGUGAAAUCUCCCGGCUCAACUGGGAGGGGCCAUUGGAUACUGGCGGACUAGAGGCGGGUAGAGGAAAGCAGAAUUCCCGGUGUAGCGGUGAAAUGCGUAGAUAUCGGGAGGAAUACCAGUGGCGAAGGCGGCUUUCUGGACCUGUCCUGACGCUGAGGAGCGAAAGCGUGGGGAGCAAACCGG